GGACAAUGACGAAUGAAAUAUUAAGGUCUCGUUCGUCGUAAGAGCGAUAAUUUCGCCUUGCCGAUAAUUUUAACCAUUUCCGAGUCC
rfam:Spinacia oleracea cultivar SynViroflay scaffold24998.con0001.1, whole genome shotgun sequence.